UGCUCCCUGGAGUGCCUGGUCGGUAAAGACCUCGAGCCGAUGCUUAUUACCCAGGAGGGUUUCUCUCGUUGUUGUGAGCAUGUCCGGCAUGACCGGAAAGCCUGAUUCGAUGACCGAACCCCCCACCUUGAACCAUAGGGUUCAAGGGCUUUAUCCGACAUAAGGGCGCACCAGGGAGCUU
rfam:Oceanobacter sp. HI0075 HI0075_c166, whole genome shotgun sequence.